GGUGAGAAAGGACAGGCCUAGACAAUGAAGCAAGGGGCGAGUGGGUGGAUGGGUAAAACCACCUGCUCCUCAAAACAGCCAGGCUCUGAGAUGAAGCAGGAAUCUGCACUUAAACCGAGGCUGGAUCCAUCCUAGGGAUUCAAGCCUGUGUUGUCAAGCGAAAACAGAAAAGAGAAGGGAAUUCCACCUUUGCCCACUGAGAACACAUCUAUGCUGAGAACACAUCUACCCAACUCCUCUGUCACAACCCCUGUGAGAAGGUUCUGCCAUCUCCCAGCCCUGAAGAUUGUGAGCUCCCUGAUGGCCCUGGGCCUCCCUCCCGACAGCUGAGGCCCUUCCUGGAUCUCUACACGUCACCAAGCUAAGCCAGUGUUCCAAAAUAGUCUCCUGAACAAUGAUGACAACUGCACAGUUAUUUUGGAAGAACUUCCUGGCAGUGAUGGCAGUGGAACAUUGGAAACAGAGAUGAACAGGAGGUGGGAAGAGGAGGCUAAGUACAUGUAGGCCUAAAAGUCUCUGCCUUGGGAGAUUUUUAACAGUCCUGGAUGGAGGUAAGGAGGCAGGCGUGAUUCUAAGAUCUCAAGGAAAGGAGAUUCUAUGUCACUCUUCUCUUCCCUUGGCCCUCAGA
rnacentral:lncRNA from 1 species